GACGAACGCUGGCGGCGUGCUUAACACAUGCAAGUCGAACGGAAAGGCCCGGCUUUUGUGGGGUGCUCGAGUGGCGAAUGGGUGAGUAACACGUGAGUAACCUGCCCUUGACUUUGGGAUAACUUCAGGAAACUGGGGCUAAUACCGGAUAGGAGCUCCUGCUGCAUGGGGGGGGUUGGAAAGUGUCGGCGGUUGGGGAUGGACUCGCGGCUUAUCAGCUUGUUGGUGGGGUAGUGGCUUACCAAGGCUUUGACGGGUAGCCGGCCUGAGAGGGUGACCGGCCACAUUGGGACUGAGAUACGGACCAGACUCCUACGGGAGGCAGCAGUGGGGAAUAUUGCACAAUGGGCGGAAGCCUGAUGCAGCAACGCCGCGUGCGGGAUGACGGCCUUCGGGUUGUAAACCGCUUUCGCCUGUGACGAAGCGUGCGUGACGGUAAUGGGUCAAGAAGCACCGGCUAACUACGUG
rnacentral:rRNA from 1 species